GUGUUCAUCCCUACAGGAUCAGAGAUGAUGAGACGAUCAGAGCCACGAUCCAGAAGAACUGAACUCCCAUCCCCCGAGUCCUGCGGCAGGAAGCGCUCCUUCUCUCCAAGAACUCCUGGACCCUGCAAGCUGGUCCAGAACCAGAGUCCCAGUGAGGAGUCCAGCCAGUCGACCUCUCAGAGUUAAACUAAACUACAACAUUAUUAAAGAUCAUGUUUAAAGUUAAAAAAGGAUGCUUUCAGACUGAAUCCAGAAGUUUCUCAAGCUGCAGUCAAAGCAGAUCAUUUGUGAAUAUAUAUAUAUAAAAAUAAAAAAAAACUAUAAUAAGAAUUACUUACUACUUACUUACUACAAAUAUUUGAAAUGUUUCUGACUCUCUAUCUGAGUGCUUUUCUCAUGAAUUAACGACUUAAAUCUUGUUUUGUUUUCUUGUUUAUUUCAUAAUCCUAUAGGAUAUUUGAUUUUUCUUUCAUGUAACUUUAAGACUAAAUAUUAUUUUCUCAGCUCUGUAAUAAAAAAACAAUAAAGCUUAAAUAUGCUAAAAACUGUGUUAAAACUCUGAUAGUUCUCAUAGUCAUGUAUCGUAUAGUUUAAUGCUUUAGCAAUAUAAACAGGAUGUAUAACAGAAAUCCUGACAUGGGUGCUCAUAAAGACCCAUGUUGCAAAGUUCGCACUUCCCCUUUGGAGGAGAACAUCUGUUAUGUAUUUCCUCGCUGGAAGUGAACAGUUAACCACAGCAACGAAGAAGGACACCUCUAAACGCACCAGCUUGCACGCAAAGCAUGUGACAAACCACGUGUCAGACCAUGUGACAAGCCGCGGGAAAGAAGAGGAUAAAAGAAGACUGAAGAACAUAGGAGAGCAGUUCCUCUUUGAACCCAGUUCGAACUUGAACUUUCCUGCUUCAGCAAGCUACGGAAGACGAUCGUAUACUUACUCGUAUUUAGGCAAAGAUCUCGGAUGUAAUAUGUAUCUGUGCAAAACGCAUUUAAUUUUUUAUUGAUGUGUGGUGUUAUAACUUGUUAAACUUUAAUAAAACUACCUGUUCACAUUUGUGAGAGGAAACUAAA